UACGAAGGGGGCUAGCGUUGCUCGGAAUCACUGGGCGUAAAGGGUGUGUAGGCGGGUCUUUAAGUCAGGGGUGAAAUCCUGGAGCUCAACUCCAGAACUGCCUUUGAUACUGAGGAUCUUGAGUUCGGGAGAGGUGAGUGGAACUGCGAGUGUAGAGGUGAAAUUCGUAGAUAUUCGCAAGAACACCAGUGGCGAAGGCGGCUCACUGGCCCGAUACUGACGCUGAGGCACGAAAGCGUGGGGAGCAAACAGG
rnacentral:rRNA from 1 species